ACCCAUGUGGUUUCAUUUAUUUCCCAUGUGGUUAGGAUUCUUGGCUUUCACCCAGGCGUCCCGGGUUCGAUUCCCGGCAUGGGAA